UCAGCCCUAAAAAUAAACCAGCCCGUGCAAGGGGCAGCAGAGGUGGCAGGCAGAGGCGCUGGGGAAGCUGACAGCCAUCGACUCUUCUCUUGGAGUUGGUUUUUGCCUGGAAACUGCGAGGUGGCCUUCUUUUCUCAUGCAAGGUGUGGAGGAUUGACCCCAGGUCCUCGGGCUGCGAGGCAGGGUCUCAACAUCCCUGCUGAGCCAUUUUAUUAUAUAUGCAGCUCUUCCCUGUGCUUGCCUGUAUCUCCUGGCUCAGGAAACUGCCCUGGGCCAGAGUCGUGGAGCCCAAGCCAUCCUGGGCUGGAGCCGUAGUUCUGAUGCUGGAAGGUGAUCCCAGCAGGACCUGCCAUGGCCGUGAGGAGCUGGCAACGGCCCAGUCUCCCUGCUGCUGGGCACUCGCUGCCGUGAGUUCUCAAGGGCAGAGUCCCUGGAGAAUGCAGCAAGCAGAGGCAGCAACUUCCUCAUGACCUCACAUCUCUUUCCAUCACUGCAAAGUAGAUCUGGAGUUUCCAGCUCCCGCUUGCAUGGUCACAGGCUUCAGCAUGGAUGACAGAUGGCACUGCCACUCUUAGGAAGCAAAGGUUUCCCACAGACCCGAGAUCCCCACCUGUCCCCGUCGUGCAUGGCACUCGGCUUGGCUCCCUUGAUGUCUGGGACGCACCUGGACCUCACUGAGAAAGCACAGCUUAGAACUCGGCUUCAGGUCACUGUUAUUAUCUGGCCUACAGUGAUCACUGUGGGCGUGACCUGGAAGGGUCUGUCUCUCUCUUCCCUUGAUCUUUCUCUGCCUCCUGCCUACCCUGACCGAGGCUGUUUCUACUCCUUGGAGCCAGCCAACUAUGGACCAAAAUCUGUACAAACUGUGAGCCAAAUAAACCUUCCCUCUUUAA